GUCCACGCCCUAAACGAUGCAUAUUUGGUGUGGGCAGUUCAUUCUGUCCGUGCCGGAGCUAACGCGUUAAAUAUGCCGCCUGGGGAGUACAGUCGCAAGGCUGAAACUCAAAGGAAUUGACGGGGGCCCCGCACAAGCGGUGGAGCAUGUGGUUCAAUUCGACGCAACGCGAAGAACCUUACCUGGGCUCGAACGGCUGGUCAACGGAGGUGGAAACAUCUUUACCCCGCAAUGGGGUCCAGUCGAGGUGCUGCAUGGCUGUCGU
rnacentral:rRNA from 1 species